UGGGGAAUUUUGGACAAUGGGCGAAAGCCUGAUCCAGCAAUGCCGCGUGUGUGAAGAAGGCCUUCGGGUUGUAAAGCACUUUUGUCCGGAAAGAAAUCCUUGGCUCUAAUACAGUCGGGGGAUGACGGUACCGGAAGAAUAAGCACCGGCUAACUACGUGCCAGCAGCCGCGGUAAUACGUAGGGUGCAAGCGUUAAUCGGAAUUACUGGGCGUAAAGCGUGCGCAGGCGGUUUGCUAAGACCGAUGUGAAAUCCCCGGGCUCAACCUGGGAACUGCAUUGGUGACUGGCAGGCUAGAGUAUGGCAGAGGGGGGUAGAAUUCCACGUGUAGCAGUGAAAUGCGUAGAGAUGUGGAGGAAUACCGAUGGCGAAGGCAGCCCCCUGGGCCAAUACUGACGCUCAUGCACGAAAGCGUGGGGAGCAAACAGGAUUAGAUACCCUGGUAGUCCACGCCCUAAACGAUGUCAACUAGUUGUUGGGGAUUCAUUUCCUUAGUAACGUAGCUAACGCGUGAAGUUGACCGCCUGGGGAGUACGGUCGCAAGAUUAAAACUUCAAAUGGAAUUGACGGGGUCAUAGCUGUUUCU
rnacentral:rRNA from 1 species